CCUACGGGAGGCUGCAGUGGGGAAUAUUGGACAAUGGGGGCAACCCUGAUCCAGCCAUGCCGCGUGAGUGAUGAAGGCCUUCGGGUUGUAAAGCUCUUUUGGUGGGGACGAUGAUGACGGUACCCACAGAAUAAGCUCCGGCUAACUUCGUGCCAGCAGCCGCGGUAAUACGAAGGGAGCUAGCGUUGUUCGGAAUUACUGGGCGUAAAGGGCGCGUAGGCGGUCAGGCAAGUCAGGUGUGAAAGCCCUGGGCUCAACCCGGGAAUUGCGCUUGAUACUACUUGGCUUGAAUUCGGGAGAGGUUGGUGGAAUUCCCAGUGUAGAGGUGAAAUUCGUAGAGAUUGGGAAGAACACCCGUGGCGAAGGCGGCCAACUGGACCGACAUUGACGCUGAGGCGCGAAAGCGUGGGGAGCAAACAGGAUUAGAUACCCCUGUAGUC
rnacentral:rRNA from 1 species